UAUAUUAUAGUAUAUUGAAUAAUACAUACGCAAUUGUCACUUUUCAUAUAUUGAAAAAUAUGUGACAUUUUCUGGCUUCCCAUGUUUUCACAGUAAUACACUAGGGGGCUCUGUCACACAUUUUCUGAAUGAGUACAGUAUCUCCAAAUCAAAACACAGGCAAAGAAGAAGCCGAAACGAGCAAUCUUAUAUGUAAGCAUAUGAAAAAUCAUGUGAUCAACCCAGGAAGAGAUAUAGGACUGUGUGAGUUUUAGGGCUGUUGAUAAACUUGAUCUACUCCAUCUAUGUUUUGAUCAUCAUACUGAAUCUGAUCCAGACGUAGUCUUUGACAAAAACAUGAUUCCGCAAGUUUUUGCUCAAAAUAUUGCUUGUUUUAAUGAAACUUACCUAUAUUCAAGUGCUGAUAAAAAAAGCAUGUAUGUUUUUUUGGGGGGUUUAAAAGCAGAGGGUCUGAUCUUUCUUUUUGAUAUACUGAAUGUUCAAAUAUUCAUACAACAAAAUAUUCUGGAGGCCAUGAAAAUUUUGAGAAAAUGAUCAAAAAUGUUGGCGCUGCAGCUCGUCCAAGCACGACAGAGAACUCAAUGCGGCCCAUGCACUGUUUGAAGCGGCUUUCUGUGCGCACAAGUCAUGUAUGUUUCACACAGACAGGAGAUUCAUAGAUAGCGCACCUGUACCGCACUGCGUUCUCUUUUGUGUCUUGUUGCGCUUGAAUGAUUUAAAAGCAUUUGCAUGAAUAAGAGUGUGAUCAUAUAAUGUAACUCCAGCUAAAGGAUGACUGAAAAAAAAUGGAUGUUGGGCUAAUUGCAUGUUAAACUGAAAAAAUGUAUUGUAUGCAUUCACACAUUAAUUUUGGCAGCACUAUUUAAAAUAAUAAAACAAAUACAUGUCAUGACCUCUUUAAAAACAGCAGCAGCAUCUAUUUCAUGCUGGGUGAUCAUUUCUGGUUGCCGGGAGUUGAAAAUGUCCAUCGUUGGGUAAAAAUACACUGCACUGCUAAAGCGCUCUCAAACGCCUGUAGCUAGGCAUUUUCAGAAGAUCACCUGGUGUUAAGCUGGCUAAAACCGCUUUUGAGGACACACGGCCUAAGGGAUAGGGUUUGUGUUAGACUGUGGUCUUUAUAAUUAGAUCCAUUUUUUUUUUUUUUAAAUCUAAAAGUCUACACUGUAAAUUUGUAAAUAAAAGAUAAUUAGAGUAUGUUUUAAAAGAAAAUACUAUUAGUUUUUCUAUUUCAAAAUUUCAUGUUUCAUAAACUGGUUACUUGCUGAUAUGUUGUAAUCGUUUGUGAAAUUCACAAAAAAAUUUCUAAAGGAAGUUUCUAAGUUCACCAAUUUCUUUUCAAGUUUAUGGUACGUUGUCAUUUAGAUGAGCUAGAUAUACUAUUACUGUCAUCUACAUUAGCUAAUCAGCAACACAAAAUGUUUCCAUCAUUACUUGCCUCAUGGUAAAACAUACAACCACAUGCAGAGCUGUGAACACAUUCAUCUGAGUAAAAGAUUUUUUUUUACUUCUCACACUUGUCAAUGCUUUACAGUAAACAAACAUUUAGAUUUCCUCUCAUGGAAACACUGAUCAGAGACGUAUCUCGAGUGGUCUUAACAGCCCCUCUUUUGCGGUUUCACAUUCCUUUUGACUCAAUCUGUAGAACAAAAAAGACCCUCAACUCACACUGUACUACAGACCGCACACACUCUCAGACUUUAUCACUUCCACUACUGCGGUCAUGUUUCUUUCCAUUGUAUGUAAAUGUGUGUGUGUGUAUAUGUGUCUGUGUGCGUAUUUCCACUACUGCAGGUCUUUCAGUGCAAUUAUGAGACCUCAUCUACUGUAACGUCCUGUCAGUUUUCCAGGAAUCAGAAGCAAGCCAGGCAACAGGUGUUCACACAUUUCUGCGGUUCACAAGUUCAGCAGAAGGAGAACAAGCUCAAAUAGCGUAAAGUCGGUCAGGUGCCCAGAGGUAUAAAGAUUAGGCCUACCUGAUAUCUGUGCAGCACGUACCAAAGUUGAAGG